UGCAGUCGAACGAUGAACCGCUUUCGGGCGGGGAUUAGUGGCGAACGGGUGAGUAACACGUGGGCAAUCUGCCCUGCACUCUGGGACAAGCCCUGGAAACGGGGUCUAAUACCGGAUAUGACUGUCCAUCGCAUGGUGGAUGGUGUAAAGCUCCGGCGGUGCAGGAUGAGCCCGCGGCCUAUCAGCUUGUUGGUGAGGUAGUGGCUCACCAAGGCGACGACGGGUAGCCGGCCUGAGAGGGCGACCGGCCACACUGGGACUGAGACACGGCCCAGACUCCUACGGAAGGCAGCAGUGGGGAAUAUUGCACAAUGGGCGAAAGCCUGAUGCAGCGACGCCGCGUGAGGGAUGACGGCCUUCGGGUUGUAAACCUCUUUCAGCAGGGAAGAAGCGAAAGUGACGGUACCUGCAGAAGAAGCGCCGGCUAACUACGUGCCAGCAGCCGCGGUAAUACGUAGGGCGCAAGCGUUGUCCGGAAUUAUUGGGCGUAAAGAGCUCGUAGGCGGCUUGUCACGUCGGUUGUGAAAGCCCGGGGCUUAACCCCGGGUCUGCAGUCGAUACGGGCAGGCUAGAGUUCGGUAGGGGAGAUCGGAAUUCCUGGUGUAGCGGUGAAAUGCGCAGAUAUCAGGAGGAACACCGGUGGCGAAGGCGGAUCUCUGGGCCGAUACUGACGCUGAGGAGCGAAAGCGUGGGGAGCGAACAGGAUUAGAUACCCUGGUAGUCCACGCCGUAAACGGUGGGCACUAGGUGUGGGCAACAUUCCACGUUGUCCGUGCCGCAGCUAACGCAUUAAGUGCCCCGCCUGGGGAGUACGGCCGCAAGGCUAAAACUCAAAGGAAUUGACGGGGGCCCGCACAAGCGGCGGAGCAUGUGGCUUAAUUCGACGCAACGCGAAGAACCUUACCAAGGCUUGACAUACACCGGAAACGUCUGGAGACAGGCGCCCCCUUGUGGUCGGUGUACAGGUGGUGCAUGGCUGUCGUCAGCUCGUGUCGUGAGAUGUUGGGUUAAGUCCCGCAACGAGCGCAACCCUUGUCCCGUGUUGCCAGCAGGCCCUUGUGGUGCUGGGGACUCACGGGAGACCGCCGGGGUCAACUCGGAGGAAGGUGGGGACGACGUCAAGUCAUCAUGCCCCUUAUGUCUUGGGCUGCACACGUGCUACAAUGGCCGGUACAAUGAGCUGCGAUACCGCGAGGUGGAGCGAAUCUCAAAAAGCCGGUCUCAGUUCGGAUUGGGGUCUGCAACUCGACCCCAUGAAGUCGGAGUCGCUAGUAAUCGCAGAUCAGCAUUGCUGCGGUGAAUACGUUCCCGGGCCUUGUACACACCGCCCGUCACGUCACGAAAGUCGGUAACACCCGAAGCCGGUGGCCCAACCCCUUGUGGGAGGGAGC
rnacentral:rRNA from 1 species